GCAGUGAGCCGAGAUCGUGCCACUGCACUCCAGCCUGGGCGACAGAGCGAGACUCCGUCUCAAAAAAAAAAAAAAAAAGUUGACUUGCAUUCAUUGUACUCACUGUUGGGUUCCUGAGUGUGUGAGUCUGUGGGGUGAUCCAGCGCUCAGCUUGGGCCUCAAGGGAGAGAGUACAUGCCAUGUCCAGGUCCUAGAUGGGACUCAGCACUGGGGAGGAUCAGAUCAGCCUUCUCCUUGAUGGGUCAUGACGGAGGAUUCUCAGAGGGGACAGGAAAUGCUCUGGGGAAGGGCAAAGUGGACAGACCACCAAAGGCAAGCUCUGUGAGCUUCCAAGUUUGGACGAGGCAUCAGGCCUGGAAGUGAGGGAGUUUGGGGUGGUGAGCAGGGAGGGUCAGAUAGAGGGACAAAGAGAGAAAUAGCAAGUUGGAGAUAGAGUCCUUCCAUCGGGGUGAGUUGGAAUGAGAAGAUGAAGACUAGGAUAGGCGGGUGUGGACGCAACAGAGUCGAGGCUGGAGAUGACAUGGGAAGGACCUGAGUGGGGCUGGAUAGUGGUCCCCCAAAGAUGGUCACCCUCUAAUUCCUGGAACCUGUAAGUAUGUUGUCCAGGAAGGUCCAGUCCAAUCACAUGAGCCCUUCAAAGCAGAGGACUGUCUCAGCCAGAAGAGGAAGGUAUACCAGAGAGGGGACACAAGGGGAAGUCAGAGUCCCGCCAUGACACUGGGCUGUGGCUCUGGGAUGUCAGGUGCACCUGCAGUAACCGGAGAGAGGCCUCUUGGAGCUAAGGGUUGGUGGCCCCCAGCUGACAGCCCGUGAGAACAUGGGGACCUCAGUCCCAGAAGCCCAGAAUUCGAUUCUGCUGAAAAUCUGAAUGAGCUUGAAAGAAGCUUCUUCCCAGAGCCUCCCAGUGAGAGCUCAGGUGGCUGACACCCUGUGAAACCCAGAGGUGAGGGCUGGUGGAGCCAUCCUGGAUUUCUGACCAGGAUGAUACGUGAAAUAAUGCAUUUGUGUUGUUUUACGUUUCCAAGUUUGUGCCCAUUUGUUAUGGCAGUAACAGUACAGGGGCCACGUAAACAGACAGGUCUGGAGUGAAAGAGUUGGGGGCCAGGCACAGUGGCUCAAGCCUGUAAUCCCAGCACUUUGAGAAGCCGAGGUGAAGGGAUCACUUGAGCCCAGGAGUUCAAGAUGAGCCUGAGCAACAUAGGGAGAUCCCUAUGUUAAAUAAUACAACAAUUAGCUGGGGGUGGUAGCGCAUGCCUGUGGUCCCAGCUACUGAGAGAGGUUGAGGUGGGAGGAUCGCCUGAGCCUGGGAGGUCGAGGCUGCAGUGAGCUGUGAUUGCGCCACUGCACUCCAGCCUGGGUAACAGAGUGAGACCCUGUUUCCAAAAAAAAAAAAAAAAAA
rnacentral:lncRNA from 1 species